rnacentral:rRNA from 1 species
GAUGAACGCUGGCGGCGUGCCUAAUACAUGCAAGUCGAGCGAACGGACGAGAAGCUUGCUUCUCUGAUGUUAGCGGCGGACGGGUGAGUAACACGUGGAUAACCUACCUAUAAGACUGGGAUAACUUCGGGAAACCGGAGCUAAUACCGGAUGAUAUUUUGAACCGCAUGGUUCAAAAGUGAAAGACGGUCUUGCUGUCACUUAUAGAUGGAUCCGCGCUGCAUUAGCUAGUUGGUAAGGUAACGGCUUACCAAGGCAACGAUGCAUAGCCGACCUGAGAGGGGGAUCGGCCACCUGGGAAGUGAAGACGGGCCCAAACCCCACGGGGGGGACACGUAGGGAAAUCUCCCGAAAGGGGGGAAAGCCGGAGGGGGCAACGCCGGGGGAGUAAAGAAGGUCUUGGGAUGGUAAAACUCUUUUUUUGGGGAAAAAAAAAUGUGUAAGUAACUGUGAAAAUUUGAAGGGUCCCAAAUAAAAAAGCCCCGGCAAAUUCCGU